rnacentral:rRNA from 1 species
AGUGAACGCUGGCGGUAGGCCUAACACAUGCAAGUCGAACGGCAGCACAGAGGAGCUUGCUCCUUGGGUGGCGAGUGGCGGACGGGUGAGGAAUACAUCGGAAUCUACUCUGUCGUGAGGGAUAACGUAGGGAAACUUACGCUAAUACCGCAGACGACCUACGGGUGAAAGCAGGGGAUCUUCGGACCUUGCGCGAUUGAAUGCGCCGAUGUCGGAUUAGCUAGUGGGCGGGGUAAAGGCCCACCAAGGCGACGAUCCGUAGCUGGUCGGAGAGGAGGAUCAGCCACACUGGAACUGAGACCCGGUCCAGACUCCUACGGGAGGCAGCAGUGGGGAAUAUUGGACAAUGGGCGCAAGCCUGAUCCAGCCAUACCGCGUGGGUGAAGAAGGCCUUCGGGUUGUAAAGCCCUUUUGUUGGGAAAGAAAUCCAUCUGGUUAAUACCCGGGUGGGAUGACGGUACCCAAAGAAUAAGCACCGGCUAACUUCGUGCCAGCAGCCGCCGUAA